rnacentral:rRNA from 1 species
ACUCCUACGGGAGGCAGCAGUGGGAAUAUUGCACAAUGGGCGAAAGCCUGAUGCAGCAAUGCCGCGUGUGUGAAGAAGGCCUGCGGGUUGUAAAGCACUUUUAUCGGGAAAGAAAAACCAGGGCUAAUACCCUUGGUCUUGACGGUACCCGUUGAAUAAGCACCGGCUAACUCCGUGCCAGCAGCCGCGGUAAUACGGAGGGUGCAAGCGUUAAUCGGAUUUAUUGGGUUUAAAGGGUCCGUAGGCGGGUUAAAUAAGUCAGUGGUGAAAUCCCAUCGCUUAACGAUGGAACUGCCAUUGAUACUGUUAGUCUUGAAUGAGGGUGCAGUGGUUGGAAUGUGUAGUGUAGCGGUGAAAUGCAUAGAUAUUACACAGAACACCGAUUGCGAAGGCAGAUCACUAACCCUAAAUUGACGCUGAGGGACGAAAGCGUGGGGGAGCGAACAGGAUUAGAUACCCUGGUAGCCUCUGCU